UACAGAGGUGGCAAGCGUUGUUCGGAUUUACUGGGCGUAAAGGGUGCGUAGGUGGUCUCCUAUGUCGAAUGUGAAAUCCCAAGGCUCAACCUUGGAAUUGCGUUCGAAACUGGGAGACUUGAGUGCAGGAAGGGAGAGCGGAAUUCUUGGUGUAGCGGUGAAAUGCGUUGAUAUCAAGAAGAACACCGGUGGCGAAGGCGGCUCUCUGGAAUGCUACUGACACUGAGGCACGAAAGCUGGGGGAGCAAACAGG
rnacentral:rRNA from 1 species